rnacentral:rRNA from 1 species
UGAAUACGAGACGCUAAGGCGUCGAAGUAGUGUAUGUCAUACUUCCAAGAAAAGCUUGCACUGUCAUAGAUAAAAAACGCCUGUACCAUAACCGACACAGGUGGGUAGGUAGAGUAUACUAAGGGGCGCGAGAUAACUCUCUCUAAGGAACUCGGCAAAAUAACUCCGUAACUUCGGGAGAAGGAGUGCCUUAUUCGUAAGGUUGCAAUAACAAGAUCCAAGCAACUGUUUAUCAAAAACACAGGUCUCCGCUAAGUCGUAAGACGAUGUAUGGGGGCUGACGCCUGCCCAGUGCCAGAAGGUUAAAGAAGUUGGUUAGCAAUUGCGAAGCUGAUAACUGAAGCCCUGGUGAACGGCGGCCGUAACUAUAACGGUCCUAAGGUAGCGAAAUUCCUUGUCGGGUAAGUUCCGACCCGCACGAAAGGCGUAAUGAUUUGGAUACUGUCUCGGAGAGGGGCUCGGUGAAAUAGACUUGUCUGUGAAGAUGCGGACUACCUGCACCAGGACAGAAAGACCCUAUGAAGCUUUACUGUAACUUGAAAUUGAAAUUGGACUUUAUUCGCCAGUAUAGGUGGGAGGCGUUGAUUAUAAUCUUGUGGGAUUAUUGGAGCCAUCAGUGAGAUACGACUCUUGUAAUGUUAGAUUUCUAACUUUGAAUCAUUAUCUGGUCAAAGAACAGUUUCAGGCGGGCAGUUUGACUGGGGCGGUCGCCUCCUAAACGGUAACGGAGGCGUACAAAGGUUUCCUCUGAACGGUUAGAAAUCGUAUCUAGAGUGUAAAGGCAUAAGGAAGCUUGACUGUGAGACCUACAAGUCGAGCAGGGACGAAAGUCGGUCUUAGUGAUCUGACGGUACUGAGUGGAAAGGCCGUCACUCAACGGAUAAAAGUUACUCUAGGAUAACAGGCUGAUCUCCCCCAAGAGUUCACAUCGACGGGGAGGUUUGGCACCUCGAUGUCGGCUCAUCGCAUCCUGGGGCGGUAGUACGUCCCAAGGGUUGGGCUGUUCGCCCAUGAAAGCGGUACGCGAGCUGGGUUCAGAACGUCGUGAGACGGUUCGGUCCAUAUCCGGUGUAGGCGUUAGAAUAUUGAGAGGAGCCUUCUUUAGUACGAGAGGACCGAGAAGGACAUACCUCUGGUGUACCAGUUAUCGUGCCAACGGUAAACGCUGGGUAGCUAUGUAUGGAGUGGAUAACCGCUGAAAGCAUCUAAGUGGGAAGCCCACCUCAAGAUAAGUAUUCUC